rnacentral:rRNA from 1 species
GAGUUUGAUCAUGGCUCAGAAUCAACGCUGGCGGCGCGCCUAACACAUGCAAGUCGAACGAGAAAGCAGGAGCAAUCUUGUGAGUAAAGUGGCGUACGGGUGAGUAACACGUGGAUCAUCUACCCUCUUGUGGGGGAUAACCCUGGGAAACCGGGGCUAAUACCGCAUAAGUCCGAGAGGAGAAAGCAGCAAUGCGCAGGAGGAGGAGUCCGCGGCCGAUUAGCUAGUUGGUAGGGUAAAAGCCUACCAAGGCAACGAUCGGUAGCCGGCCUGAGAGGGCACACGGCCACACUGGCACUGAAACACGGGCCAGACUCCUACGGGAGGCAGCAGUGGGGAAUCUUGCACAAUGGGGGCAACCCUGAUGCAGCGACGCCGCGUGAGCGAUGAAGCCCUUCGGGGUGUAAAGCUCUUUCGGCAGGGAAGAUUAUGACGGUACCUGCAGAAGCAGCUGCGGCUAACUACGUGCCAGCAGCCGCGGUAAUACGUAGGCAGCAAGCGUUGUUCGGAGUUACUGGGCGUAAAGGGUGUGUAGGCGG